rnacentral:rRNA from 1 species
UACGUAGGGGGCAAGCGUUGUCCGGAAUCAUUGGGCGUAAAGCGCGCGUAGGCGGCCCGGUAAGUCCGUUGUGAAAGUCAAAGGCUCAACCUUUGAACGCCGAUGGAUACUGUCGGGCUAGAGUGCGGAAGAGGCGAGUGGAAUUCCUGGUGUAGCGGUGGAAAUGCGCAGAUAUCAGGAGGAACACCUAUUGCGAAGGCAGCUCGCUGGGACGUAACUGACGCUGAGACGCGAAAGCGUGGGGAGCAAACAGG